AAUAAGAAAAUGAUAAAUAAGAUUUUUCAUCCUGAUUUUCAACUUUUUUCUUAUGAAAAAAUUCAAAUCCAAUUAAAAAUACUAAAAAUGAGGAGAAAAAAAUCUGAUUUGUCAUUCUCCUAUU
rfam:Gossypium raimondii Chr05_contig_38, whole genome shotgun sequence.